UGGAAGAUGUUUUUCCCUGAAGAGCUGCAGGUUCUUCUCCAGGGACACACAACAUUUGACUGGCAUCUGCUGGAAAAGAAUGUGACAUACAGACAGUAUACAAAUUUAGAUCAAACCAUUAGGAAUUUUUGGACUGUGUUUCACAAGCUACCAGAAGAAAAAAAGAAAAUGUUUUUUGCUUUUUUGUCAGGAUCUGAUCGAAUCUCUGGCUAUAGACUGGAGUGGUUUAAAUUUUGGAUUGAAGAUCCUCAAGUAGAAAAUCCAGAUGAGAGCCUUCCCUACUGAUUUUGUUCCUCCCCAGAUAUGGCAAUAAAAAAAUACUCAAAAAGAAGUUGCUUUAUGCC
rnacentral:lncRNA from 1 species